ACAAACAAUUACGUUGUUUUCCCCCAUCAUGCUAAUGAGAGCUCAGUGAAACCGCUGCUACUAGCUAGCUACUAUCGUUAGCAAAAACCGAACUUAUUUUUAUUUUUAUCCCACUUUUUUAUUUCGAGCUUUUAAUAUCCGUCUUUAAGCUCCUCGUGAUUUUUCUCAAAGAUAAAAUCCUGUCAAAAAUCGCUUUUUCAGUAGCUGUCACCAGGUCAGUGUCGAUCAUCCCUGUAGGAUCAAACUUUUGUCAUUUUUCUAACAGCGGAAGACAUCAGUAACGGAGAAAUUUGUUUGUCACCGCGUUAAACAAGUUUAAACGUUUGGUUGCGUUAAUAAUUACUACAGACACAUCUGGGAACUAGCUUCCUACGGUUUAAACUCAUGAAAACGUUCAAUAAUUUCGCUUCAUGUUGAAGUGGAACUUAAAGAGCAAGUAACGUCUAAAUUAACUUUUUUUUGCUGAUGAACUGUAUAAAUGAGUGUAUUUUAAAUGUGUGUAUUCAUUAUUUUAGCAUUUUGGUGCAUUUUCUUUAAAAAUUAAAAAUUCUGCCUAAAUACCACCGUAUAGCGCCACCUUCAGCUUAAAACAUAGAAUUUGACUCAUUUUGAAUAAAUUUUAGCCAAUGACUAAAGAGUAAGAUACUACGUAAACCAGUAGAGUACUACGUAGCAGCUCUGUGUCAAAGUUAUAAAGCAUCGAGCGUCUCGGCCACGCCUUGUGGCGAGUUGGGAGUUGGAUUUGCAAGCGAGUGUAGGAGGCUAGCCUAGUUCAGCAUUAGCAUAUAGCGUUAGCAUAUCCUAAUCUUUAGCAUAGCUUUUAGUGUUAUACAUACUUAUUUAGUGUUAGUUUGGCUGUUGGAUAGUGUAGUUUAGUUAGUGUUUGGCUGUUAGUGUAAUUAGGAAAGUAGUUCGGGUUUAGUGCUCCAUAUCGUGUUAGUAUGGUGAGAAGGUGUAGUGUAGUAUGGUUGCGGUGGCUCUGUGGGGUUGUACUCCUUUCCGCUGGACUUAGAAAUUAGGCGCCAGUGGUUGCGCGCAAUCGGUGUCUGGAAAAGAUUCAGCUCCCGCCGGGUGCUGUAGUUUGCAACCAGCAUUUUACCCGCGAUUCUGCACGUCUCCGUUUGAAGAGGGAGGCUGUGCCCACCGUGGCUCUUCCGCGAUUUAGAUGCAGCCCACCGACUCUGCUCCCCCACCACGGCGGGCUCCAGUCUGAGGUGAGUACGCUAAAUAAAAGUUUUAACAUCUUCUAAAGACAAUUUCCUACCUAAAUGCAAAGUUUAAGAGACGUGGUUCACUCCAUUUAGCUAGUCAGUCGGUAAUUCUGCAACAGUGUCUCUAACUGACGCAGCACUAGUUGACAGACAGCAUUACAGCGUGAAAUCCAGCUUGUGACCCGGUUCCGUAAGGAAUUCUGUGCAGGAGGUCGCAUUUCAGGCUCUAUUCACAUCAUAUGUGACUGACUUUUAUGGGCCAUUCCCAUCUGUACCGGGUCGGCCCGGGCCGGGUAGCCCCAGUCGGCCCCAGCCUGGCCCGGCUGAUUCCACACAUCCUUGCCUUAAGCCCAUGUGGGCUGAUUCUACCCACCAAUCAGAGGCUUGCUCUAAUGGAAGGUGUGAAUUUGCUGUCAGCAGUGGGUGUGUUGGCCCUGGUCGGCCUGAAGCAGACCCCCUCGAGAAGAGGGCUGAGAAUGAGCCUUGGUUGGCCCGGAAAAAUACCAGGCCACCCAGAUAUGUAAACAACCUACGCUACCCGGCCCGGGCCGACCCGGUACAGAUGGGAAUGGCCCAUCACAGUCACACACUAGGAAUGUUAUAAAGCGCCUAUAUAGGAGAUUCUUUUGUAUAUUAUCUGACUUUAUAAACAACAACAAUGUGCUUCUAUAUUUUUUUUCAGGCUAAAUCUACCCAAGACACUGGCUGUCAGACUGAUUUAGUAGUCUGCAAGAAUGUACUUGUCCAGGCUGACGUGAAGCCUUACCGGCGUAGCAAAGCCAGCCAGAAUGGAGUUCACAGCCACAGUGUGUCUGGUGACACGGGGACCAUGACGGAAAUUCAUCUUCCAGAAGGUCCCAGAGCAUCCACACCCCCUGAAAGACCAAGAUGUGAGGUGUCUGCUGUUGAUUCCAGCUUCCACCUCAGUGACAGUGCAAGCUCAGUGAACUGUUCAAGGUAAAAAAAAUUAAAACAUUUCAGAAUUUUUAAGAUAUUAACAAUUAAAUAAGUAUGUGAUUACAUCAUGACGGAGGCUACUGAUUCUGGCCCUGUGACACUUGGUGGUGACGUGUGAGCUGAUUCACCUGGUAAAUAACUUUUACAUUAAAUAUUUUGUUUUUGAUAUCAAAAGUAAAUUAACUAAUAACCUGCAUUAUUGCAGGACACUCAGCAAAAUAUAGACUCUACACCAUGAGGCAGGCACACAUUAAUAUUCUAUAAGAGCACAUAAGCAUGAGGACGUCCUCACACACCUGUAACCUAUCAGCUCGUCUGGCAGAAUAGAGAGAGAAGAGACAACACCACAUCUCCUGUUCCUGGAAAGCCUUCAGCCAUCCUUCGAUGACUGAGAACCUCCAUCAGCUGCAGCCGUGCUCUUCUUAGCGUGACAGCAGGACGUCCCGAAGGUCCGCUCACCUGUUCACCGCUCAGACGUCCUGAUCUUCUACCUUCCUAGAUCAUCCAGCUGUAACCUGUUCCUGAUCAUGUCUUUAGUCCCGCUGUAACACUGAUGCAUCAGUCUCAGACGUCAUGGAGCUCAGGUGUUAUCAGAACUACCUGUGUGUGUUCACCACCCAGCUUCAGCUCUUCUGUGGUUGGGUCUGACCCAAGUUAGUAAAUGUAAGUCCUCCAUCAGGCUUGUGCCUCUUCUAGUGUCAUUUUAUUUAUUUAUUUAACCAUGACUAGAUUACCAGCAACAGAAAUGCUAAAAACACACAAUUAUGUGAAGCUGGAAAAAUUAAAAUACUGUGCAAAAUUACAUUUAUUUCUGUAAUUUAACUAGACUGAGAGACCAUAUAAAGGCUCGGGAACCUUUACAGGUGUUUCUAUUUGCAAUUUUAAAUGUUAGCAGAUUGGGGUCUUGUUAAAUAUCACACAGUGACCUUUUAAUAGUCUAGAUUAGUGUAAUGUUCCUGUUAGUAGUUCUUCCUGUUAAGUGCUUAUUUAUUUAAAUUAUUCAGGUUUAUAUAAAACAUUUGGACAUACAUUUUAUUAUGUUCCAGUCCAUAGUCAUUUAUAUUUCACUAUUGUAGUAAUUCUUGCAUGCUUUAAUGAAAAAAGUAACUAAGUAGUUAUUUUUUGUGGUAAUUAGUUACUUUUAUAAUCUUGUAACUCAGUUAGUAACAGUUACUUUUUUGACAAAGUAAUCAGUAACUAUAAUUACUUUUUUAAAGUAACGUUCCCAACACUGCUUACAAGCAUCCUUCCCGUGGAUUCGGACACACCCAUACAGUACAGCCAAGUUAUAUUUACUAAAUACAAACACCAAACAUGCUCAAACUUGUUAAAAGUAAGUUUAUUUUAUUUAAUGUAAAUUUUUAUUAUUUAAAAAAGGGACAGAGACCUAUAAGAGGUAUCUCUUAAUUCUGCUGCUUUUUCAUUCUUGGUUGUGUUAUCUGUUUUUAUAAUUGUGUAUAUAUAUAUUUGAAUGAAAUAAAGUUCCUCAUUAAAAAUCCCAUGAGUUAUGAUCUCAAUAGUCUGCCGAUUAGAGCAGGAAUAAUCCGCACAGAGCUCAGGCAUCUUGUUCACUGCUGCUGUUUUGGUUAGUUUCUGCUGGAAGCUCGACCCAUCUAGGACGGCGACUGCAUUUCCUGCGCCCGAGCGGCCAACAGAGGGUUUGUCAAUAUAUACGUCUGUGGUUUGAUGGGCCCAAUCCCAAUACUCGCACUUCCACCCUUGCGCCCUUCAAUUACGCAAUUCCAACCAGGGGUGCGAGUGGUGUCCCUAUUCUCAAGUGCGGAAGUUGAUCACGCCCCUUUUGCACCCUUGAUCCGCACUUUCAUGCGGACUUGCGUGAAGUGUAUUACCCACAGUCCAUUGCUGCGGGAGAAAAGGCUUGUGUUCCUUUUCUGAAAAUAUGUAUUUUCUAAGGAAAUUAGUUUGUUUUAGGACGAUUAGUUGAUGCUCUGAACGUUUGAGUCUGCAGCAAUUAAUUUAAAUUUAUUUAAAACAACUGUUUGGUUGUUUGUGUGAAAGUUGUUAAUAAAGGUUUUUAAAGUAUUACAGCGACCAGCAUCCCCUGAUCUAAGAUCUGAUUGGUUCACAUUUUGAUCCAAGCGACCAGUGGUAGAAUGGGAAAUGUUAGUUGGUCACAUGUAUUCUGUAAAUCAUGUUACGCUGAUGACGACAACUACAUCGGCCCUAAAGAGAAAUGUGAUUUGUUUUCUAUAAGGACACUACAAUUACAGCUGAUAACCUUUACGUAAUAUUACAGUCAUAUCUUUAUAUGACCAUGUCUACAAUAUGAUAUCCACAAGCAUGUGAGGAUGUGUUUCAGUUGCUAACAGGCUUCAUCAAUUUACACUAUUAUGAACGCUAACGCGAUAUCUUCAGCCAUCGUUACCCUCAAGCUACAUGUAGAGAAGUCCGUCCGACUUAAACGCCGGCUUUUAGCCACUCCCCCUGCUGCUUCCAUCUGCUCUCGUCUG